CCAAGUAGCUCAGUUGGUAGAGCAGAGGACUGAAAAUCCUUGUGUCGGUGGUUCGAUUCCGCCCUUGGCC
rnacentral:tRNA from 3 species